rnacentral:lncRNA from 1 species
AGCACUUAUUUAUGAAAUUAGUUUUUUUAUUAGCCUAUAUUUAAUACUUUAAAUUAGUAUCAAACAUCCGAUAUGACAUAUCCGAUAUGACAUAGUGCUUAAAAAGUUUAGUCCCAUCCAACCCUCAGUAUAGUCAAAAAGUUCAGGCGCCAGCUGCUAUCGUCGCGGCACGUAGUGCCUACCAGGCUAGCUCCCAUUCAUCCCUGGCGGCAAAAUCAGGUGCUCCUCGUCCACUUCGCAAACCAUUGACUUCUAGUCUCAACAGAAUCUGCAUGGCAACGACAAUCCAGUAUUCCACGAUCUUGUCGGCAGAUUGCAGCUGAAGAUGCUUGACGACGACGAUGCAGUACAAGCUUAAGGAUCACAUGGGCAUUGGCAGUAAUCGCAACCCGGCAAUGGCGGCGCUGCUCGAGUGCGUGUCGCCCUUGUUGCUCGCCGUCGUCUUCAUAGCG